UACGUAGGGUGCGAGCGUUAAUCGGAAUUACUGGGCGUAAAGCGUGCGCAGGCGGUUGGUCGUGUCCUGUGUGAAAGCCCCGGGCUUAACCUGGGAAUGGCAUGGGAGUACUGGCUAGCUGGAGUGUGGCAGAGGGGGGUGGAAUUCCGCGUGUAGCAGUGAAAUGCGUAGAGAUGCGGAGGAACACCGAUGGCGAAGGCAGCCCCCUGGGCUGACACUGACGCUCAGGCACGAAAGCGUGGGGAGCAAACAGG
rnacentral:rRNA from 1 species